rnacentral:rRNA from 1 species
UACGUAGGGUGGCAAGCGUUAUCCGGAUUUACUGGGUGUAAAGGGCGUGUAGGCGGGUUUUUCAAGUCGGAUGUGAAAAGGCAAGGCUCAACUUUGCUCUGUCAUCCGAAACUGGAGAUCUUGAGUGUCAGAGGGGAAAGCGGAAUUCCUGGUGGAGCGGUAAAAUGCGUAGAGAUCAGGAGGAACACCGGCGGCGAAGGCGGCUUUCUGGCUGACAACUGACGCUGAGGCGCGAAAGCGUGGGGAGCAAACAGGAUUAGAUACCCUGGUAGU